UAGGACGUUGAAACCCUGGUUCUCGUGCGAUCGACGAAAUUAAGCAGCAUCAAGCCUGGUCAGUACCGAGAUGGGUGAUAGUUUGGGAAUAUCAGGUACUGUAAG